rnacentral:rRNA from 1 species
UACGGAGGGGGCUAGCGUUGUUCGGAAUUACUGGGCGUAAAGCGCACGUAGGCGGCUUUGUAAGUUAGAGGUGAAAGCCUGGAGCUCAACUCCAGAAUUGCCUUUAAGACUGCAUCGCUCGAAUCCAGGAGAGGUGAGUGGAAUUCCGAGUGUAGAGGUGAAAUUCGUAGAUAUUCGGAAGAACACCAGUGGCGAAGGCGGCUCACUGGACUGGUAUUGACGCUGAGGUGCGAAAGCGUGGGGAGCAAACAGG